CCUACUGGAGGCAGCAGUGAGGAAUAUUGGUCAAUGGGCGCGAGCCUGAACCAGCCAAGUAGCGUGAAGGAUGACUUCCCUACGGGUUGUAAACCUCUUUUAUCAAGGAAUAAAGUGAGGCACGUGUGCCUUUCUGUAUGUUCUUUAUGAAUAAGGAUCGGCUAACUCCGUGCCAGCAGCCGCGGUAAUACGGAGUGUCCGAGCGUUAUCCGGAUUUGUUGGGUUUAAAGGGAGCGUAGAUGGGUUGUUAAGUCAGUUGUGAAAGUUUGCGGCUCAACCGUAAAAUUGCAAUUGAUACUGGCAGCCUUGAGUACAGUUGAGGAAGGCGGAAUUCGUGGUGUAGCGGUGAAAUGCUUAGAUAUCACGAAGAACUCCGAUUGCGAAGGCAGCUUACUAAACUGCCACUGACAUUGAUGCUCGAAAGUGUGGGUAUCAAACAGGAUUAGAUACCCGUGUAGUC
rnacentral:rRNA from 1 species